AAAUGACAAAACUACCAAAAAUGACUGAAAUUACUGGCAUAUUGUACAGUGGUAAGCCUAUGGUUUUCUGAAG
rnacentral:snoRNA from 1 species